rnacentral:sRNA from 1 species
GCUGGGCACAGCGGAACAUGCCUGUAAUCCCAGCAGCUUGGGAGGCUGAGGCAGGAGGAUCUUGAACCUUAGUAACUUAGGGAGGCCCUAAGCAACUCAGCAAGACCCUGCCUCUA